AGAGUUUGAUUCUGGCUCAGGAUGAACGCUGGCGGCGUGCUUAACACAUGCAAGUCGAACGGAGCUUAUAAGAAAGCGGAGCUUGCUCCAAUGGAAUUUAAGCUUAGUGGCGGACGGGUGAGUAACGCGUGGGUAACCUGCCUUGCACAGGGGGACAACAGUUGGAAACGACUGCUAAUACCGCAUAAGCCGGUAGGACCGCAUGGUCUAUCCGGAAAAGAUUUAUCGGUGCAAGAUGGGCCCGCGUUGGAUUAGUUAGUUGGCGGGGUAACGGCCCACCAAGACCGCGAUCCAUAGCCGACCUGAGAGGGUGAUCGGCCACAUUGGGACUGAGACACGGCCCAAACUCCUACGGGAGGCAGCAGUGGGGAAUAUUGCGCAAUGGGGGAAACCCUGACGCAAGCAACGCCGCGUGAGUGAGGAAGUAUUUCGGUAUGUAAAGCUCUAUCAGCAGGGAAGAAGAUGACGGUACCUGCAGAAGAAGUCCCGGCUAACUACGUGCCAGCCGCAGC
rnacentral:rRNA from 1 species